UUCCAGUGCUUGAAUGUGGCUAAUGCAUCGGCGAGGUAUGGAUUGAAUGCCAGUAGCUCCUUCUUCAACGAUUUGAUCUUUCUUCCUCCAAGAGUAAGAUAAUGAACCAGAACUCUUUCACCCUCCUGCUUUAUGAGCCUAUCCUCUUCAAUCUUCUAAUUGUGUACCGGUCGGGAUGCCUCAGUAUAGGUCUGACUCGAUGGAAAAGCUCGGGAUUACUCUAUCUAUGUAUGGUAGAACGCGAGGUAUGGCAUUCAUCGGGGCAAAGAGGAGCCCCUUACCAACUUGCAAUUGAGUGAAUCACUCAUGUCGAAACUUAGGAUUUUGCCUCCUCUAUCGAUCGAGUGGUACUAACAUCAAGCAGAUAAGGGCUAUUGACUGCUUGACUUCC
rnacentral:lncRNA from 1 species